GCACGCUGAGUGUGCACUUCCUGUCAGUCCGGCCGGUUACAGGAAACAGAAACUCCAGUUCCGUGCGGAGUUUCUGUUUCCUGUAACUGGCCGGACUGACAGGAAGUGCACAC